rnacentral:rRNA from 1 species
GCUAAGCCAUAAACCCUGAUAGUCUCUUAUACAAAACUUUCCGCCAGAGAACUACAAGUGAAAAACUUGAAACUCAAAGGACUUGACGGUGUCCCAUAUCGCCCUAGAGGAGCCUGUCCUAUAAUCGAUACUCCCCGUUCCACCCAACCUCAACUAGCAUAUCAUCAGCCUAUAUACCGCCGUCGAUCAGCCUACCCUAUGAAGGUCUAAUAGUAGACACAACAGCUUGUACCGCUAAUACGUCAGGUCAAGGUGUAGCAAAUGUUGAGGAAGAGAUUGGCUACAUUUUUUAUAAUAAAAAACACGAAAAGCACUAUGAAACUGUGCAUGAAGGUGAAUUUAGUAGUAAAAUAGACAAGUGUGUCUACUUUAACAUCGCUCUGGGACGCGUACACACCGCCCGUCACCCUCCUCAACAGCAACGAAAACUAUUUUAUAAAUCAACAAGUUAAACAGAGGAGGC